AGAUCAUGUUGAGGAUAAUUACUUAACAACCCUUUGCAGCACUCCCAAACUUCGUAUAGUGACUCCCUCGGUUGUUUCUCAAAGUUGGCUAUUGCCUUCUUGAGUUU